GACGAACGCUGGCGGCGUGCCUAACACAUGCAAGUCGAACGGAGACGAUAGCAAUAUUGUCUUAGCGGCGGACGGGUGAGUAACGCGUGGGUAACCUGCCUUUUACUGGGGGAUAACACAGGGAAACUUGUGCUAAUACCGCAUAAUAUCAUGAGAGGACAUCCUUUUAUGAUCAAAGGAGCAAUCCGGUGAAAGAUGGACCCGCGUCCGAUUAGCUAGUUGGUGAGGUAAUGGCCCACCAAGGCGACGAUCGGUAGCCGAACUGAGAGGUUGAUCGGCCACAUUGGGACUGAGACACGGCCCAGACUCCUACGGGAGGCUG
rnacentral:rRNA from 1 species